rnacentral:rRNA from 1 species
UACGAAGGGGGGCUAGCGUUGCUCGGAAUUACUGGGCGUAAAGGGCGCGUAGGCGGCUUUGUAAGUCGGGGGGUGAAAGCCUGUGGCUCAACCACAGAAUUGCCUUCGAUACUGCAUGGCUUGAGACCGGAAGAGGUAAGUGGAACUGCGAGUGUAGAGGUGAAAUUCGUAGAUAUUCGCAAGAACACCAGUGGCGAAGGCGGCUUACUGGUCCGGUUCUGACGCUGAGGCGCGAAAGCGUGGGGAGCAAACAGG